rnacentral:rRNA from 1 species
AUUGAACGCUGGCGGCAGGCCUAACACAUGCAAGUCGAGCGAGCGGCGGAAGGGUGAGUAAUGUAUGGGGACUGCCCGAUAGAGGGGGAUAACUACUGGAAACGGUAGCUAAUACCGCAUACUAUCGGAUAACCCAUAUGGGAUUAGCUAGUGGGUGAGGGAAUGGCUCACCUAGGCGAAGAUCCCUAGCUGGUCUGAGAGGAUGAUCAGCCACACUGGGACUGUGACACGGCCAGUACUCCUACGGAGGAGCCAGUGGGGAAUAUUUGCAAAUGGGCACAAGCCGGAUGCAGCCAUGCCGCGUGUAUGUAGAAGGCCCUAGGUUUGUAAAGUACUUUCAGUCGGGAGGCGUUACCGACAGAAGAAGCACCGGCUAACUCCGUGCCAGCAGCCGCGGUAAUUC